CUUAGGAGCCAAUGAUGUUUUUUAUUUAUAAUGUCUGAACCUAUCUGAAGCAUCACCAUGAUGCAACCUCUGUUGCUGAGGCUUCUUUGCCA
rnacentral:snoRNA from 1 species